UAAAGUGAUUUUCGUUCACUUACAUUUCUACAGUCGAAGCGGAACGUCGAACGAAGAAACCCUAACCUCAACCUAACCCCGAUUCAGAAGCGUGCGAGGAGUAUAUGAAGCCAUUUGCCAAGGAGCUGGAGAUGGGGGCUAUUGAGGAAAAAAUAAAUCAAACUAGGAGAAUUUUAUGAAUAAUAACAAUUUCCACCAUCAAGCAUAGUUGGUUUUCACGGAGGACUUUUAGAGUUGCUAAACGUAUUCCGUGAAGAUCAACUAUGCUUGAAGAUGGCUUAUUGACUAUGCUUCAUAUUCUACUCCUAGUUUUUUUUUGUAUAGCUUUUUUCUCGAUUGCAACGAUCUCAGUCUCCUUGUCCAAAUGCUUUAUAUACUCUUUAUACGCUUCUGAAUCAGAUAGAGAUGGGUCCUCGAUGUCUGCUGUAAGUCCUCCUCCCCGCGGGAUUACUUUCGUCCAGGUUGCUUUCAGGCCUAGAAGAGAAUAGAAGAUAAAUAAAUAACCGCGACCAGACAGGCACCUAUUCUCCAACUCCUUUGUCUUGGUAGGCCAAAGUGGAAGAUCGAAGGGAGAAACCCAUACGCCCGACGUGAAAAUUUAACCUGAGGAAAAAUAAAUCAAACUAGGAAGGUUAUAUGAAUAAUAGCAAUUUCCACCUUCAAGCAUAGUUGGUUUUCACGGAGGACUCUUAGAGAUACUAACAGUAUUCCGUGAAGAUCAACUAUGCUUGAGGAUGGCUUAUUGGCUAUUAUAAAUAUACCCUUCCUAGCUUUUUGUUUCUUCUAAGUGACUCGGGUUUACUGGCGGAUUACUUUCGCCUAGACCUAGACGAUAAUGAAAAAGAAAUAAGUAACCGCGACUAAACCAUUCCCAAACUCCUUUGUCUUGUGAACGUAAAGCCACUACUUAACAAAUUGGCUGACGUGAUGUUGUACUGCCUCGAGGAGACGCUGACUUAAACCCAAAGCUACCUUCAAACAUAAUUGGGGUGGUCAAGACCAGAAGCCUGCCUUUCAAAAUAAACUCAGUGGAUGGUCUGCCGUCGACGGAGGAUCUUUUUAGUUAUCACAUGCUAACCGGAGUGCAAGGGGAAGAGCUUCAAUCCUGCAAGAACAUGUCCUUUUUUUUGGUGAAUUUCGUUCCUAGAAUUUUGUAAUAUUCCAGUCCUUUGUUUAAAACAAUUACUUACUAAGAUGCAUGGCAUAUAUUACAUGGAUUUAUGACUUACGAUUUAAGGAAUCAUCUAUGUAGUUACUAAAUUAUUUAAAAACAAAUAAAUAAUAAACACUAAAAGCUUGUCAA